UACGAAGGGGGCUAGCGUUGCUCGGAAUUACUGGGCGUAAAGGGCGCGUAGGCGGAUAUUUAAGUCGGGGGUGAAAGCCCGGGGCUCAACCUCGGAAUUGCCUUCGAUACUGGAUAUCUUGAGUACGGGAGAGGUGAGUGGAACUCCGAGUGUAGAGGUGAAAUUCGUAGAUAUUCGGAAGAACACCAGUGGCGAAGGCGACUCACUGGCCCGUUACUGACGCUGAGGCGCGAAAAGCGUGGGGGAGCAAACAGG
rnacentral:rRNA from 1 species